GACACAAGUAAUUUCUCAUUUUCCUCCCAGACUCAUGUCUAUAGCUCCAAUAAAAUCUCUUAAAAUGGGAGGGAAAUCAUCUAAACUAGAUGAUCCAGGGAGAAGGGAGAAAUCCUUAUGUAGUGAUACCCUUGGCCAGGUCACCUGCUGGGACUGAACCUAUAAUAUCUGGAUCUAAAAGCAUGAGCAUUUAAUGCUUGAGCUAGGCACAGAAGCAGACUCAUUGCCCAUACAUACCUUAAAAGGGAACAAAGAGCUAAAAUGUGUUAGUAUGGACACCACACUCCCAUUUAGUUGGGGAAGCUCAUUCUAAGUUUCAGAAGUCCACACAGGGCAUUAUUUGUAACAAUGUCAGUGGAAGAGUUAUCUGUGGGGAUUGUAACCAAGACUUACACAUCUAAAGGCAUGAGCCUCUACCGGUGGAGCUAAAGGACCAGGUUGAUUAGUUUGAAGGUGGCAGUAAACCUCUUUAUGUGGUAUAGCCAAAGGAGGGGAACAAAGAACCACAUUAUUUUAGCAUGGCUUACUGCUGAGUUAGAUGAUGUAAUGUCUCUCAAAACUAUGAAUGCUGAGCAACAAAUGAGUGCUGGACCUAGAAAUUGUUUCUGAGUUGCAACUCAUCACCAACUGGGGAAAGAGGAGCAAAAGCCAGAUACCAUUAGAAAACAAAAGUUAAUAGCAGACUUUCCCUAAGUGGUACUGGUAACUGAACACUAGCAGUAAUAAGAGGGUCUGAAGAUAAAGUAUCUGGCUACCUAGAGAGGGCCCAGAAUCUGUCUCCAUGCCCAUCAAUGAUAACAGACCACAACACCAGCCGUUUUUCAUGAACGAAUGGCAUUGUGAAAGGAGAGCUGGCUAGAAGCCCAGGCUUGCCUGCUUUUCCUGCCACAUAUUUCCUCCUGUGGGAGAGGAUGCAACACAGCAUCCAGGAAACAGAUGUCAGCUCUUUUAUGUCAGCAGGUGUUGUAGAAGGAGCACAGUUCGGGGUUUGGAAGAGGUUCAAAAUCUUCACUAUGUCCCAGCUUGUACAAAGGCAGGAGGAUGUGAGAAGAAUUUCUUUUUGGUAGGUAAAGUCACAACAGCUCAGAGCAAGGAAUCUGUUGUCAAGUCAGAGGUUACUGUGUGUGUGUGACAAGUAUAGAAAACUAACAUUUACAAGAAUACUGUUGUCUGAAGUAUUCAAAAAAAACACUGGGGCUACGAUCCUGGACAUUGUCUCUCUUUUGCUCCUACUGUUGAUUAGAAGCAUCGGAAUAUUGUAAAUUAUAUAUGAACAGUAGAUGUUGGUAUAAUUUUUAAACUGCUAGCAACAAAGUGGCAAUUUAAUUUUGAAGACAUAUUUGGAAUCUGAAGUUACUCACUGUGUGCAGUAACUUUUGUUCUUCGAAAUGUGUGUCCCUAUGGGCCCUCCACUAGGUGUGCUUGCGUCCCUGUGUUGCUGAUUGGAGAAUUUUGGUAGCAGUGUCUCUUCAGCCUGCACAUGUGCCAUCACCCGCGUGCUCUGCCAUUAAGCUAACCAGCAUUGCUUGGGCAAACCCCCCUCAGUUCCUUCUCUCCUGCAGAGUUUAUGAUGAGAACUCUGAAAUGGAGAGGAGGAAGAUGGGUCGUGGAGCACCCAUAAAGACACACAUCUCAAUGAACCAUCGUUAAUGCAAAAGGUGAGUAACUUCUUUUUUGAGUAGUGUCUUUAUGGGUGCUCCACUAUAGGUGACUCCUAGGCAGUAUCCCCCACGGGAGGCUGGGGCUUCGGAGUAGAGUCUGUUAUGGGUGAUAAUACUGCACAGCCAAAUCUAGCAUCUCCAGCGGCAUCCCCCAGGAUGGCAUAGUGUUCUGCAAAGGUAUAUCCAGAUACCCAAGUAGCUGCUCUGCAAGUUUCUGAUAUGGGGACACCCUUGAAGAAGGCGACUUCUGAGGAAAUCGAUUUUGUAGAAUGUAUGAUGGAGGUGCUAAACUGCAAAUCUGGUAACAGAGUUUGAUACAGUUCGAGACCUAUUUAGAAAGUCUCUAAGCUGAAAUUGCUGUCCUUUUAGACCUAUCUGCAAUGGAGAGGAAGAGCCUAGGAGAUUUCCUAAAAGCCUUUGUCCUGUCCAAAUAGAAAGCCAAGGCUCCCCUUACAUCAAGCGUAUGUAGAACAGCUUCCCUAUUAUCCAGGUGUGGUUUGGGGUAAAAGGUCGGGACGUAAAUUAAUUGAUUUAUAUGAAAUGUGGAAGUCACUUUGGGUGUCAACUUUGGGUGUGGUCUGAGUGUGACUUUGUCAGGAAAGUACACAUAAAAGGGGGAAUGCACCAUCAAGGAUAUCUCCCCUAUCCUCCUUUCUGAGGUAAUAGCAAUCAGAAAUGCCAUCUUCAGUGAAAGGUGAAUUAGUGAACAAGUGGCCAUAGGUUUCAAAGGGCUGUCUGCUCAGUCAUUUUAAUACUAAAUUCAGGUCCCAUUGUGGGGUAGGAUGUCUGGGUUGGGGAAAGAGGUUCGCUAUGCUUUUAAGGAGCCUCUUCAUAGUUGGGUGCGAGAAAACUGAGUACCCUUCUAUUUGUUGGUGAAAAGUUGCUAUUGCCACUAAGUAUACCUUUAGUGAACUAAUAGAGUCUCCUGAUUUCUCAAGAGACAGUAAAUAGUCUAAGAUUAUUGGUAGAGUGGCAGUAUUUGGGGUAAUUCUUCUGGAAUGGCAUCACAUCUGAAACCUGGUCCACUUUUGUAGGUAAAUAUGACAGGUAGUCAUUUUCCUACUGUGAAGUAACACCUCCUGUACUUCCUCAGAGCAGGAUGUUUCAAUGUGGUGGAACCAUGAAGGUGCCAGGCUUUGAGCCAUAAUAUCCACAGGUUAGGAUGGAGAGAGUGUCCAUCAUUCUGUGAGAGGCGGUAAGGAGUUGGUUGAAGAAUCAUCUGUGGACACAGUGCCAACUGUGACAGGCGAGGAUACCACAUCUUUCUCGGCCAGGUGGGAGUGAUCAGUAUGAUGUUUGCUCUCUUUUUAUUUUCAACAGGACUUUCAGCAACAGAGGGAAUGAGGGAAAGGCAUAAAGAAGACCCUUGUCCCAUGAGAAGAGGAGAGCGUCCCCUAUGAAGUGCUGGCCGAUGCCUGCUCUGGACUAGUGCUGUGGAUACUUCUUGUUCUAACCCAGACUUCUGAAUAAAUCCAAAAUUGUAUCGGUAACUCAUUUGGGUUCAUCAAAGGAUGGUGCCCUGAGAAGACAACCAUCCAGAUUCAGACUAACACGGCUACCCCUCUGUUACCAGACAUGGGUAGGACUUCAUGGACGUGUCGACUGCAACACAGCUCUGCAGAAUCCAGCAUCAUCCCUGGCUUGCUGGGUGAUGGCAUAAUGCAUCAUGAACAUGUGUACUGAUGACCACGUGGCAGCUCUGCAGAUGUCCUGGAUGGGAACAUGCGCUAGAAAGACCACCGAGGACGCUUGUGCCCUGGUCAAGUGGGCCUUUAGUACAGGUGGUGGCUUGGACCACGCCAACUCAUAACAGGUCUGGAUACACAAGGUGAUCUGGUUAGAGAUCCUCUGCGAGGACACCGAUAGGCCUUUCAUCCUGUCCGCGGUCAUGAUAAAAAGUUGGGUCGACUUGCAGAAGGCCUUGGUGCGCGCCAGGUAGAAGGCUAGGGUGCUCCAGAUGUCUAAGGUGUGCAGCAGCCUGUCCUCCACAGUUAAGUUCGACUUUGGACAGAGAAUCGGGAGAAAGAUAUCCUGGUUAACAUGAAGUGAGACACCACCUGGGGCAGGAAUGUGGGGUCGGCUCGCAGCUGGACCUUAACCUUGUAGAGAACGGUGUAAUGGGGCUCUGAAGUGACAGCUUUAAUCUCGGAAACUCACUUUCCUGAGGUAAUGGCUACAAGGAAAGCUACCUUCCAUGACAGGUGUGAAAGGGAGCAGGAGGCCAGUGGCUCAAAGAGAGGCCCUCUGAGCCUCGAGAGGACACAGUUGAGGUCCCAUUGUGGAAUCACACCCAGACCAGUGGGAAGAGCCGCUCUAGUCCUUUCAGGAACCAAAUGGACAUGUCAUGUGAGAACACCGAUUUGCCCUGAACCUUCUGGUGGAAAGCUAAUAUGGCUGCCACAUGCACCUUGAUGGAGGAAAGCGCGAGGCCUUGUUGCUUAAGGUAGAACAGGUAAUUGAGGAUGUACUGCACAGACGACCGUGUCGGGGAGAUGCCAUGCUCCUCCACCAAGCAGGAGAAUUGCUUCCACUUCGCCAAGUAAGUUGCUCUGCUUUCCAAGAGGACCUGCUGUACCUGGCUGGAGCAGGCCCUUUCCUCUGGGUUCAGCCACCAAGCCGUGAGGUAGAGGGAGGGAAGGUUCGGAUGCAGGAGCUGUCCGUUCUCUUGCAAGAGGAGAUCCGGACGGCUGGGUAGUGGCAAUGGGGGUGCCACGGCUAGGUUCAUGAGUGUGCCGAACCAGUGCUUGCGAGGCCACACAAGGGCAAUCAUGAUUACCCUUGCCUUGUCUCUUUUGACUUUUGCUAGGACCCUGCUGACCAGCAGAAAUGGCAGGAAUGAGUACAUCAGAUCCCCCUCCCAUGACAGAAGGAAAGCAUCGGAAAGAGAGUCCCUGGCUAGAUCCCGGAGAGAGCAGAAGUGCUGGCACUUCCUGUUCUGCCUGGUGGCAACAGGUCCAUUCGGGGAGCCCCCCACCUUUGGAAGAGCACCUGGACAACCUGCAGGUGAAGGGACCACACGUGGGAAGAGAAAAAAGACCUGCUGAGGUGAUCCGCCAGUGCUUUCCAGAUGCCGCAGAGGUGCGAUGCCUCCAGAUGGACGUCAUGCUGAAUGCAAAAGUCCCACAAACGAAGUGCUUCCUUACAGACGGCCAACAAGCGAGCUUCCCCUUGCCUGUUGAUGUAAAACAUUGAGGCUGUGUUGUCUGUGAGUAUAUGUGCACUUUGACUGGAAAGGUAAGGCAGGAAGACUCCGCAGCUCCUCUGGGGACCGUGUCCCUUGGGUCUGCAAUGUGCCGAGAUGCGCUCCCCAGCCGAGGUCGGAGGCAUCCAAUAUCAGAGAUAUCAAGAGUUGGGACUCUGAAACGGAACUCAUUCCAGGACCACCUUUGGAUUGGUCCACCACUGCAGAGAGACAAGUACCUUUGGUGGAAUCAUGACAAUCUUGUCCAGAUGGUCUCUGGGCGGGGUGUAGAUUGUGCAGACCCAGGCCAUGGUGAGGGGAUACGUAGAGAUGCUGGCAAUGAGACCUGCCAUUGUCUCUAAUCUGUCUUGCAGCAGAAAUGCUCUGGCACGGGUGGAGUCGAGGACUGUUCCAAUUAAUUUUAUGCACCGGGACUAACAUUGAUUUUUCCUCGUUUAUUAACAGGCUCAGAGCACAGCACAGCACAUGAGCUGCAGCACUGAGAUAUUGUGUUGGACCUGAGACCUAGAUGAGACCCUUGACGAGCCAGUCAUCGAGGUAUGGGUAAACCUGGAUACCUCGCCGCCUGAGGAAGGCCACUACCACCGCCAUGCAUUUGGUAAACACCCUCGGAGCUGUAGCCAGGCCGAAUGGGAGCACUGCGAACUGGUAGUGAGCGGGACUCACUGUGAAGCGCAGGAAUCAUCCGUGUCCCUGGAAUAUUGACACAUGGAAGUAUGCAUCUUUCAAAUCAAGGGCAGCGUACCAGUUUCCCGGAUCCAGGGGGCAAUGAUGGAAGCCAGGGAGACCAUGCAGAAUUUCAACUUCUUGAGAUAACUCCCUGAGGAACCUGAUGUAAGAUUGAGAAGGACAAUUUAAGAAAACAAGCAUUCGUCAAACAACAAUUGAUUACACCAUGAUGGUGCAAAACUCAUUGGUCCCAAUGAAGGAAAAUCACUAUAUAAACAGGAUGCCUAGCCAUGAAACUUUGGGUUCGUCCUGCCAAGACUUCCCUGGUGUAUCGUGUCGCAACCCGAUGAAAUCCGGCUCCUCCCUAUCGGUGAUCAAUCUAGCUUGCCAAUAGGUUGAUCCAGACUCUGGACUGGUAACUAUAACAUCGACUGGUGGGAUAAUGUGUGUGUCUGUGUGUGCUGUAAUUGAAUGCAUAUGGUAAUUGUUGUAUCUUCAAUAAAUGUGGCAUAUUGCCUUUUCCCUUGAAAAAGAUCCCGUGUGCUUCUUUGGGCAUAACAGCUGGACA